UACGUAGGGUGCAAGCGUUGUCCGGAAUUAUUGGGCGUAAAGAGCUCGUAGGCGGUCUGUCGCGUCGGCUGUGAAAACCCGGGGCUCAACCCCGGGCCUGCAGUCGAUACGGGCAGACUAGAGUGCGGUAGGGGAGACUGGAAUUCCUGGUGUAGCGGUGAAAUGCGCAGAUAUCAGGAAGAACACCCGUGGCGAAGGCGGCUCUCUGGGACGGUACUGACGGCUGAGGAGCGAAAGCGUGGGGAGCGAACAGG
rnacentral:rRNA from 1 species